rnacentral:rRNA from 1 species
UACGGGGGGUGCGAGCGUUGUCCGGAAUCACUGGGCGUAAAGGGCGCGUAGGUGGUUUGAUAAGGGUGUGGUGAAAGUCCGGGGCUCAACUCCGGAUCUGCCGUGCCGACUGUCAAACUCGAGGGCUGUAGAGGCAGACGGAAUUCCGGGUGUAGCGGUGGAAUGCGUAGAGAUCCGGAGGAAGACCGGUGGCGAAGGCGGUCUGCUGGGCAGUUUCUGACACUGAGGCGCGACAGCGUGGGGAGCAAACAGGG